AUGAAAAAUUCUGAAGAUAUAUAUUCUAAUACUAAUGUAGCAGAACAUAAAGAAAAUGUUAUUUCAGAUAAAACAGGUAAAACUACAAAUAAAUAUAUAGUAAACAACAAUCAAAGUAUUUUUCAAAAUAAUAAAAAUAAUGGAGAUGUUGAUCACCACCACCAUGUUGAAUAUAACAAUUGUGAUGGGUGUAACAAUCAUAGUAGUAAUAACAAAUUAUGUUUAAAUAAUGAAUGUUAUGAUGAAAAAAUAAAUAAUAACUUUAUUCACAGAAUUAAUACUAACAAUAAUAGUUACUUUAACAACACUACCAGUUGUAAAGAAUCGUAUGAUACAUCAUCAUAUUAUACUAAAGAGCAUACUAUACAAAAUAAUAGUUACUCUAAAGAUAAAAAUAUAUAUAAAAAUUAUAAUAACAUAAUACAAAAUGGUUUAAUUAGCUGCAAUGAUAAUACGUAUAAUAAUGUAAGUGAUACAUAUAAAGUGUUAUUAAAUGUUUGUUUAGAUGAAAUAAAAAAAUGUUUAGAAAAUCAAGAUAUUAGUGAAUCACACAUAAAUGGGUACAACACAGAUCAUAACAACACAGGUCAUUACAACACGAGUAAACAACACGAAUGCCAUUACCAAAUUAAUGAACAAACUACUGAUAGCUCAAAUGGUUAUUGCAAAAUACAGAAUAAUAAUAAUAUUUUAUAUAAUAACAAUAUAUAUAAUAACAAUUUAUGUGAUAACAAUUUAUGUGAUAAAAAAAAAAAAAAAUAUUUAAAUAAGAGAUAUUCCUCUGUAAAUAAUGAUAAUAUAGAAAAUCAUAAAAAAAUAGUAAAAAAAAGUAAAUUAUUUGAUAAUUGUAAUAUUAAUGAAUAUGAUAAAAUAAAUUAUGCGGGACAUAAAAUAAUGGAUAACCAUGUUUUUAUGUCUCAAAAUGACAAAAUAUGCAUUACAAAUGGUUCAUACGAUGAUAGAAUAAAUGCAACACCUUAUUGUAAUAACAAUAGUAGUUGCAUUGAUAGUAACUGCUAUAACGAUAGGAACAAUAAUACCGACCGGAAUAAUAGUAACAACUGGAACAAUAAUAACAACUGGAACAAUAAUAACACUUGCCAGCCGAGUAAGACACUCGGAAAAGAAGAAAAAGCAAAGGAAAUUGAAAAAAAGAUUUUAUUCGACAUACUAAACGAAAAAAACUUUAAUUUAGAUAAAAAUCAAAUAGAAUCUGAUUUAUUUAAUAUUUUUAAAAAUAUGAUAAAUGUGUUGACUUAUAAAUAUCCUCAACUGAAUAUUAAAGAUUUUUUUUUAAUAGUCAAGACAAACUAAAAAAGGAGUACGAAUUUAAUAGGGAAUUAUCAAUAAAAAAAACAAGUAUUAAUUGUAAUAAUAAUCA
rnacentral:lncRNA from 1 species